rnacentral:tRNA from 1 species
AGGCACUUAGUUCAGUGGUUAGAGCACGAAGCUUAUACCUUCGGAGUCGCAGGUUCAAAUCCUGCAGUGCCUA